GGCUCCUUGGUCAAGUGGUUAAGACAUCGCCCUUUCACGGCGGUAUCACGGGUUCGAAUCCCGUAGGAGUCA
rnacentral:tRNA from 1 species